AUUGAACGCUUGCGGCAGGCCUAACACAUGCAAGUCGAACGAGUGGCGGACGGGUGAGUAAUGUCUGGGAAACUGCCUGAUGGAGGGGGAUAACUACUGGAAACGGUAUCUAAUACCGCAUACCAUCAAAUGUGCCCAGAUCGGAUUAGCUUGUUGGUGGGGUAAAGGCUCACCAGGGCGACGAUCCCUAGCUGGUCUGAGAGGCUGACCAGCCACACUGGAACUGAGACACGGUCCAGACGCCAAAGGGAGGAAGAAGGGGGGAAUAUUGCACAAUGGGCGCAAGCCUGAUGCAGGAAUGCCGCGUGUAUGAGGAAGGCCUUCGGGUUGUAAAGUAAGUUGAGCGGGGAGGCGGUACCCGAAGAAGAAGCACCGGCUAACUCCGUGCCAGCAGCCGCGGUAAUAC
rnacentral:rRNA from 1 species